AUUGAACGCUGGCGGCAUGCCUUACACAUGCCAGUCGAACGGUAACGGGCCUUCGGGUGCUGACGAGUGGCGAACGGGUGAGUAAUACAUCGGAACGUGCCCGAUCGUGGGGGAUAACGAGGCGAAGGCUUUGCUAAUACCGCAUACGAUCUACGGAUGAAAGCAGGGGACCGCAAGGCCUUGCGCGGACGGAGCGGCCGAUGGCAGAUUAGGUAGUUGGUGGGAUAAAAGCUUACCAAGCCGACGAUCUGUAGCUGGUCUGAGAGGAUGAUCAGCCACACUGGGACUGAGACACGGCCCAGACUCCUACGGGAGGCAGCAGUGGGGAAUUUUGGACAAUGGGCGCAAGCCUGAUCCAGCCAUGCCGCGUGCAGGAUGAAGGCCUUCGGGUUGUAAACUGCUUUUGUACGGAACGAAAAGCCUUCUUUUAAUACAGGAGGGUCAUGACGGUACCGUAAGAAUAAGCACCGGCUAACUACGUG
rnacentral:rRNA from 1 species